rnacentral:rRNA from 1 species
GUCGAGCGAACGGACGAGAAGCUUGCUUCUCUGAUGUUAGCGGCGGACGGGUGAGUAACACGUGGAUAACCUACCUAUAAGACUGGGAUAACUUCGGGAAACCGGAGCUAAUACCGGAUAAUAUUUUGAACCGCAUGGUUCAAAAGUGAAAGACGGUCUUGCUGUCACUUAUAGAUGGAUCCGCGCUGCAUUAGCUAGUUGGUAAGGUAACGGCUUACCAAGGCAACGAUGCAUAGCCGACCUGAGAGGGUGAUCGGCCACACUGGAACUGAGACACGGUCCAGACUCCUACGGGAGGCAGCAGUAGGGAAUCUUCCGCAAUGGGCGAAAGCCUGACGGAGCAACGCCGCGUGAGUGAUGAAGGUCUUCGGAUCGUAGAACUCUGUUAUUAGGGAAGAACAUAUGUGUAAGUAACUGUGCACAUCUUGACGGUACCUAAUCAGAAAGCCACGGCUAACUACGUGCCGGCAGCCGCGGUAAUACGUAGGUGGCAAGCGUUAUCCGGAAUUAUUGGGCGUAAAGCGCGCGUAGGCGGUUUUUUAAGUCUGAUGUGAAAGCCCACGGCUCAACCGUGGAGGGUCAUUGGAAACUGGAAAACUUGAGUGCAGAAGAGGAAAGUGGAACUCCAUGUGUAGCGGUGAAAUGCGCAGAGAUAUGGAGGAACACUAGUGGCGAAGGCGACUUUCUGGUCUGUAACUGACGCUGAUGUGCGAAAGCGUGGGGAUCA